UACGGGGGGAGCAAGCGUUGUUCGGAUUUACUGGGCGUAAAGGGCGCGUAGGCGGCCUGUGCAAGUCAGUUGUGAAAUCUCCGAGCUUAACUCGGAACGGUCAACUGAUACUGCUCGGCUAGAGUGCGGAAGGGGCAACUGGAAUUCUCGGUGUAGCGGUGAAAUGCGUAGAUAUCGAGAGGAACACCUGCGGCGAAGGCGGGUUGCUGGGCUGACACUGACGCUGAUGCGCGAAAGCCAGGGGAGCGAACGGG
rnacentral:rRNA from 1 species